rnacentral:snoRNA from 1 species
GUUGCUUCUUACUGGUGAACUCUCUCAGAUUUUAAUGAUGGAUGUUCAUGUUUCCGAAGCAUAAAUUGAUUUGAAAUCUGCCAGUAUUAAACAGCUCCGUGUAAAUUUAUCUUGCACUCAGCUACCUGUCUCCUGGUACAUUC